CCACCUGACCCCAUACCGAACUCAGAAGUGAAACGCCGAUGCGCCGAUGGUAGUGUGGGGCUUCCCCAUGUGAGAGUAGGACACCGCCAGGU
rnacentral:rRNA from 1 species